rnacentral:rRNA from 1 species
UACGAAGGGGCUAGCGUUGCUCGGAAUCACUGGGCGUAAAGCGCACGUAGGCGGACUCUUAAGUCGGUGGUGAAAUCCUGGAGCUCAACUCCAGAACUGCCUUCGAUACUGGGAGUCUCGAGUUCGGGAGAGGUGAGUGGAACUGCGAGUGUAGAGGUGAAAUUCGUAGAUAUUCGCAAGAACACCAGUGGCGAAGGCGGCUCACUGGCCCGAUACUGACGCUGAGGUGCGAAAGCGUGGGGAGCAAACAGG